ensembl:lncRNA
AUUUGGUUGCUGGCAAAAGGAAGUCUCUACACUGGAGCUGUAUUACAUUAUUUGAAAAUGUUAAAAAGUUGAAAGUCCACAUCUGGAAUGAUGUGUGGACGUUCAAAUUAAAUUUUUGCAUUUGGCUGUCUGAACUCUGGCAUGAGAAGUGCCAUUUCUCUUCCACUUGAAAUUAAAAUGCGAUGCUGAAGUUAAGCCCAGUGCUUGCAUAUUGAGGGAUGCUCGCAAAGCAAAAGGGGGUGAGGCUGCUGUUGGAGACAUUUUCAUUCAGAACAAGAAGAUUUUCUGUUGGAAUUUCCCAUGUAGCAGAAGAUCCGGUCUUUAAACAGCUCAAGUACUUAUUUAAUCUUUCCCUGAGGACUCUUGGAUUAUUGCAGGAAAGGAUCAUGGUGGUUUUGCCGAGUGUGGGCUUGGUGAUUUGAGUUGGGCUGUGUGUGAGGGUCUGAAGAGCUACAUUUAUUGUUUGUCUUCCAAGCCUACAAGAUGAGAGUGGGGGUGAUCGUGGUCAGCCUGCUAGUAAAUGAUGAAGAGCCAACAGGUUUGUCCUGAGAGAGGUUGUUAUUAGCAGUAACAUGGGGAGCGUUAACA